UACGUAGGUGGCAAGCGUUGUCCGGAAUCACUGGGCGUAAAGCGCGCGCAGGCGGCAAUCUACGUCUGGGGUGAAAGCCCGGAGCUCAACUCCGGGACUGCCUUGGAUACGGGAUCGCUUGAGGAUUGGAGAGGCAAGGGGAAUUCCACGUGUAGCGGUGAAAUGCGUAGAGAUGUGGAGGAACACCUGUGGCGAAGGCGCCUUGCUGGCCAAUUUCUGACGCUGAGGCGCGAAAGCGUGGGGAGCAAACAGG
rnacentral:rRNA from 1 species